GGAGUCUGGGCCGUAUCUCAGUCCCAAUGUGGCCGUUCAACCUCUCAGUCCGGCUACUGAUCGUUGACUUGGUGGGCCGUUACCUCACCAACUAUCUAAUCAGACGCGAGCCCAUCCUUCGGCGAUAAAAUCUUUGACAGCAGGGAGAUGCCUCCCCGCUGUGUCAUGCGGUAUUAGCAGCCGUUUCCAGCUGUUGUCCCCCUCCGAAGGGCAGGUUGCUCACGUGUUACUCACCCGUCCGCCACUAACUUGGGGAGCAAGCUCCCCUCGUCCGUUCGACUUGCAUGUGUUAGGCACGCCGCCAGCGUGUCCUGAGCCAUGAUCAAACUACU
rnacentral:rRNA from 1 species